GAAUGUUUCAAGACAGAAGGUGCAACUGACAGUUGAAUACAGAUGAGAGUUUGAGUCCACUGGAAUUGUCCCUAAACAUUUGGGUUUUGGUAACACUGAUAAGUGGAAUUUCAUUGAAGUGUAGCCAAAUGGCAGUAGAUUAAAAUGUGAAUAAGAGAAAAAAGUGGAGUGAAAAGUGUAUGAAGACACAUCUUUUGAGAAGUUUGACUAUAAAGAAUAGCAGAUAAAUAGAAUGUGACAGCUUAAAAAAGUUCUCUCAUCCUCUUUCCAAAAGAUAUUUGAAAGACUAAAUUUUAGGAACCAAGUCUAGAGGAGCUGACACUAUCUGGGACAUGCAAUUCUCAAGUGGAUGGAUGGAAUAUGAGUGUUUGAAUGUGAAUAUUGCAGCAAUCAAGCUUUUGCUAUGCAGAGAAGGAAUAUGAAAAGGAAUUAAAGAUCAGGGUUGUAAGCUCUAGUUCAGAGUGGAGAAGAUCCUCCUGCAUCCAGUGAUUCCAUGCCUAGGCCUUAGAUACAUAACCCAAGAUUCAACAAGCAACACCCGUUCACAUUAGAUGAUAUUCUAGGCACUAGAGGAACUCUGAGGGUACCAUCAGGGUCAGGAAAUAGUGUAGUGGAGGACAGCAGAGCUGGGGAGGACAUCGCUAAUUUAAACAGAAUGGCACUCCUUUAAAUCCAUUAUACUCUUUGUUAGAGAAUGUAACUGCGCAUUCUUGUCAUAAAACACCAAUAAAAGAUAAAUUUUGUGGACCAC
ensembl:lincRNA